UCUGCUCCCACUGCCUCGCAGUCAUCACUCGCACGACUUCCUGCGCGCCGGGAGUCCGAAUUUCCUGCCCGACUUCGUUCUCCUCUCGAAGGCCCUCGUCCUUAAGCACGUUCCCUGGCCUCGGCCCGGUACCGCGUUCUCAUUGGCGUCAUGUCCUGUCAGUUCCAGGAGCUGACCAAUGAGUUGUUGGUGCUGGCGCCCUCCUCGACCCGGUGGACCCCGAGGUCCCCCCGUGGGGGACGUGGGUUCGAGCCCUGGUCUGGGAAGAUCCCACGUGCCGCGGAGCAACUAAGCCGGUGUACCACAGCUACUGAGCCUGCGCUCUAGAGCCCGCGAGCCACAACUACUGAGCCCGCGAGCCACAACUACUGAGCCCGCGAGCCACAACUACUGAGCCCGCGAGCCACAACUACUGAGCCCACGUGCCACAACUACUGAAGCCCGCGCACCUAGAGCCCGUGCUCCGCAACAAGAGAAGUCACUGCAAUGAGAAGCCCGCGCACCACAACGAAAAGUAGUCCCCGCUCGCCACAACUAGAGAAAGCCCGCACACAGCAACGAAUACCCAACACAGCCAAAAAAUAAAAAUAAAUAAAAUAAAUUUAAAAAAAA